CUGACUUUAUAGAACCUGCAUUGUACACACUGUGUGUUUUCAUUCCCAUGCACAGCGCAUACAAUGUGGAUACUAUAAGAGUCAC
ensembl:miRNA mdo-mir-460 mdo-mir-460